ACUGACCUCUCUCGUCCACUCCUCUAUACUUUCUUUGACAAGAGUAGUGAUUAGGGGACUUUUUUAUUUCCUCUUUUAUUUUUGCCCUUGACCUGCUCCCUUUACUGUAAGAAAAUAUUCAUCUAUCUAUCUAUCUAUCUAAAUCCAUCUACCUAUCUAUGUGUGUGUGUGUGUGUGUGUCAUGACAAUUAUGGAGUCAGAGGGGACAGCCUGGGCACUAAAUAUAGCCGUGUUUCUAGUCGGAAGCGCCGCCUUGCCCCGCCUGAGGACAACAAUUUGCGGGGCGGCGGCGGCACGAGGAACAAGAAGUGCCCGGGAGCGGCAGUCAAGGCGACCACCGCGGCUGCAUAGGAAAUAACAUUACGAAACACUCAUCUUCCUCCCGCCCUCCACUGUUACGUUCGUGGAUAGGAUGCGUUCGAUAAGAUGCGUUCACUAGAGUAACGGCGUCUGGUCCUGCAAAGACGAAGGAACGAAUCUUUGGAAAACCGAUUUAGGAAUGGGUGAAAAAAAAGUACAUCGUAAAACGGAAGCAUUAAGUCUGCUAAUGGGCGGAUGACGACCUUGGUGGAGGCAUCAGGAAGACGGCGAGCUCUGGCAUCCCUCGCCUUUCAGCAAGUAUAUAAGGUCUCGGCGCUGCUCGGUCUGCACACACACUUUCAGUCCACAGGUCUGGGACCAAGAGCUUCUCCACGCUUCUCCUCAAGCAAACCUCAUCCCGCCCAAGAUGAACUUCCUUCGCGUCCUGGCAGUGCUCGCGGUGGUGGUGCUGGCCAUGGCCACCGUCACUGAGGCCAAGCCCCUCCUGCGCUUCUUCGGCAGUCGCAGGAACAGUGGCAGCCGCAGCAGCAAUAAUCGCCCGUCCAACGGCAUCAACAGUAUCGUCGGUGACGUGUACGCCGACGUCAACGGGGACAUCUUCCCCGCCUACCCGAACCCCCUGGGCUUCGUGAACUUGGGUUAGGCAGCCGUGGAUCGCCUGCCGCAACGGCAGCAACAGGACGCAACAACGUAGUGACGCGGCGCCGCGCACGGCCGCCGUCGACGCCCAUCGGUCGGCGGCCGGACAGUCGCCGCCGCGUCGUGGCCGGCGCCCGGACGGCUUCCGGCCACCAGCAGGCCGCCACAUACCUCGUCGCCGCGACGAGCGUCAGUGGCGCCCACGUGCAGCAGCGACAAGGCUGCAGCAACAAGUCUUAUUUAUCGAGGCGAGAAGUGUUACAGAGUCGGGAGAAAAGUCCGCAGGUUGUCUCCCGCCUGGUGACGUGACGAGGCCCAAAGUGUGAGGCUGUUAGUGUGUUUUGUGGUGAGUCAGAGAAGUCGCUGCAUGCGAGUCUCGAGCACAUCCCUUGGUGACAGUGUAGAGCUGCGACGACAUCAGCUGACAUUGUGGCGCAGGCCAGAGGCGGCCCCAUUGGGGGUCAGCGUGGCUCUGACCUGCAGGCUGUGACCGUCUGGGAACAGGCAGAGUCUUGCCUUGUUCCAGCGGUCACUGGGGUCAAGUUGGCUUGGCCCCAGAAUAUCAGUAAAUAUUUUUUUCAUUGUGAUGAAAAUGUUACUGUAGAAGUAUCACAUAUCUGUGUUUCUUUAAUGUAAGAUGAAUCAAGUAUACUUUUGUAUGUCUUUGGCUUUGGUGUUGUUUGUGGAACAUUAAAUUUUGUAAUUGUCAGA